rnacentral:rRNA from 1 species
UACGUAGGGGGCAAGCGUUAUCCGGAUUUACUGGGUGUAAAGGGAGCGUAGACGGCGAUGCAAGCCAGAUGUGAAAGCCCGGGGCUCAACCCCGGGACUGCAUUUGGAACUGUAUAGCUAGAGUGCCGGAGAGGCAGGCGGAAUUCCUAGUGUAGCGGUGAAAUGCGUAGAUAUUAGGAGGAACACCAGUGGCGAAGGCGGCCUGCUGGACGGUGACUGACGCUGAGGCUCGAAAGCGUGGGGAGCAAACAGG